AGUGAACGCCGGCGGUAGGCCUAACACAUGCAAGUCGAACGGCAGCACAGUAAGAGCUUGCUCUUACGGGUGGCGAGUGGCGGACGAGUGAGGAAUACAUCGGAAUCUACUUUUUCGGGGGGGAUAACGUAGGGAAACUUACGCUAAUACCGCAUACGACCUACGGGAGAAAGCAGGGGAUCUUCGGACCUUGCGCGAUUGAAUGAGACGAUGUCGGAUUAGCUAGUUGGCGGGGUAAAGGCCCACCAAGGCGACGAUCCGUAGCUGGUCUGAGAGGAUGAUCAGCCACACUGGAACUGAGACACGGUCCAGACUCCUACGGGAGGCAGCAGUGGGGAAUAUUGGACAAUGGGCGCAAGCCUGAUCCAGCCAUACCGCGUGGGUGAAGAAGGCCUUCGGGUUGUAAAGCCCUUUUGUUGGGAAAGAAAAGCAGCAGGUUAAUCCCCCGCUGUUCUGACGGUACCCAAAGAAUAAGCACCGGCUAACUUCGUG
rnacentral:rRNA from 1 species